UACGAAGGGGGCUAGCGUUGUUCGGAAUUACUGGGCGUAAAGGGCGCGUAGGCGGAUCGGCAAGUCAGAAGUGAAAUCCCUGGGCUCAACCCAGGAAUUGCUUUUGAGACUGUCGGUCUUGAGUACAGGAGAGGUGAGUGGAAUUCCCAGUGUAGAGGUAAAAUUCGUAGAUAUUGGGAGGAACACCAGUGGCGAAGGCGGCUCACUGGCCUGUAACUGACGCUGAGGCGCGAAAGCGUGGGGAGCAAACAGG
rnacentral:rRNA from 2 species